ensembl:snRNA U6 U6 spliceosomal RNA
AUGCUCAUUUGGGCAGCACAUAUACUAAAAUUGGAAUGAUACCAAAAAGAUUAGCAUGGCCCCUGUACAAGGAUGACAUGCAAACUCAUGAAGUAUUCCAUAUUUUA